rnacentral:lncRNA from 1 species
GGAGGGAUAAUCCAUUUCAUAUUUAGUGGUAUAAUGUGUAACGCACAUGUCUCAAUGUGCCACUAUAGGACUUACUGCACAUAAACAUUUCUUAAGGAAGAUACCCCUGAAGAGGGAUGUGUUAGACCCCGACUCCAUGCGGCACCCAACAACUUAGGAGACGACGAUCCAGUUGCUUAUGGAUCCUGUUACUCAUUAGCCAGAGGUCCCCAAAAGGGGCACAAGACUGUGGUCACUGCUUAUAAUGGUUCAGCCUUUGAAGAAGCAGACUGCUAUGAAGGUUUCAGUGGGAGCAGAGAGACAGGGACAAAAAAAAUGGAUGGUUGCCCGUUCUUGACAGGUAUAGAUUCAAGAUCAUCUUUCUUCUUCUAUAAAAUGCACAGUGGGUGAGUGCAGAGGAGAGUAAGAGGCUAUAAAGAACACUUUCUGGUUAAAAACAAGACAAAUGAAAGCCACACCUCUCUCUCUUUUUCUUUCAUCAUGUCAUGAAGUUGCCUUACAUGAACCCUUUCAACCAGAAGGACUAGAUCACAAAGCACUAGCCUGGCCCCAGGCGAGACCGUGCAGCGCA